GAAAUCAGCAUAACUCCAAUUACAAGCAUUCAAGCCGAAACGCAACUUUUGAUGGCCACUUUGCUCUAAAAGUUCUUCAAGCCCAUCAAGGCGAGCGUUUAUUCGAGCGCUCUUUUGCAGUUAGCGCCUGCUCCCAACAUCAGCGGUCCUCGGCCAUCUGAUGAACAAAUGUUUUUGCGUCGUAUAUUCCGCAACUGCUUUCUUGCAGCACCGCAGGUUUUUUUGUGACACCAGUUCGAAUGAAACGUUGCACAUCUCCAUGGUCGGUGCAUUUUGCGAAUGCAACAUAAUUGCUCUCCUGGCCGUUAUUUUUGUCUACGCUGAUGUAUUUCUUGAUAAGGGCGCCAUUUUGUCAGGAGCUCAUUUGGUUAUCACAAACAACAAUGUCAGCAGUAAAUUUCGACACUCAACCUCAUGUGGCGAGUUUUUUUUUUUUCCUCUUGAGACUGCCUGAAUGUAUUGAUCAUGGCAAUCGUUCCACCUGUUAGGUAAAAAUGAAGGCCAGAAUGGAUUUCCAGCCCCGUCGCGUGGCACGAGAAAGUCCAACUCAUUUGACACAGGCAUGGAGCGGGGCAGUCACUGUGAUCUGGAAAGGUUUUCCGAUGCCAGACUGUGUGUGAAAAAACCUUCUUUCCCCCAGAAGAGAAACAGAUCUCUGGACUACCCCGCUGGGACCAGGUUCUGCGAGUCCUCACCAUGGUAACAACGAUGCUCUAUGACAUCACACCAGGACCAGCCCGGUUUUGCAUGGGAAACCAGACUGGGAAACGGAGGACUGGAGUGAGACGAGCUUUUAAAUGGCACUGACCUUUGUUUUAAUUAACGUCAUGAUCUGUUGCCGAGUGUGCAUGGACAAAGUAGUUGUGUGGUUUUUAGUUAAGAGCGGAUGCGCUUGUUAAGGGGCGUUUUCACUGCAC